rfam:Micromonospora cremea strain DSM 45599 genome assembly, contig: Ga0074693_11
GAGAGCCGGAUGCAGCGAGAACUGCACGUCCGGUUCGGAGGGCGGGCCGAAGAAACGGACCGGACGAAAGCCCGGCACCGCGCUUCGGCCCGACCCCAC